UGCCAUGCCCUUUUGCAGAUGGAAAGCCUUUAGCUCUGAAGGACAUAUGGGAAGGAAUCCAUGAGUGUUAUAAGACACGGCUGCUGCAGGAGCCAUGGGACACCAUUACCCAACAGGAGCAUCCAAUACUUGGGCAGCCCUUUUUUGUACUUCAUCCCUGCAAGACGAAUGAAUUCAUGACUCCUCUGUUAAAGAAUUCUCGAAAAAUCAAUAGGAGUGUCAACUAUAUCACGUCAUGGCUGAGCAUUGUAGGGCCAGUUGUUGGGCUAAAUCUACCGCUGAGUUAUGCCAGAACAACCUCUCAGGAUGAAUGAAAUGUCAAUUGACAAGGCCUUUUCCAAUUCUGUGUAUAGCUCCAACAAGCUGGACUUACUUCUUAACAUUUGUCUGGGCAUUGCCCUGAGCCUCCUGGUGGUUGCGAAUAUCCAGGAGAUGUGUGUUCACGAGGCAUCCCGCUUGGAGGAAGCAGUCAGGGAGAGGGGAUUAUCUGCUGGCCGAUGGCAGAAGACUGUGCCCGCACUUUUGGUCUGUAGGUUCGGGGCUGAGCUCUCACACGGGGAGCAGAAGUAGAGAACGGGUUAAUUCAAACUGCUAGAAAAGCUGAAAGUAAAUUUUAAAAUGCUGAGCUGCACAUAUUCAUGCUGGGAUGAGAGCCUGCUUACAUGCUUGCUGGGCAUUUUGGUAUUUACCACUUAACAUCUUUUCAACUUCUGCAGGGAUUUUUCCCCCCACUCUCCCUAAUGUAAACACAGAUUUCUCAGCAAGUCAUUUCUCAGACCAUGUCAUUUCUAGGGUAAAAAAACCCUAAAUAAAUUAUAAUAAUGUGUCA
rnacentral:lncRNA from 1 species